AGAGUUUGAUCAUGGCUCAGAUUGAACGCUGGCGGUAUGCUUAACACAUGCAAGUCGAACGGAAACGAUAAGAGCUUGCUCUUAGGCGUCGAGUGGCGGACGGGUGAGUAACGCGUAGGAAUCUGCCUAGUAGUGGGGGAUAGCCCAGAGAAAUCUGGAUUAAUACCGCAUAAUAUCUAUGGAUUAAAGUGGAGGAUCUUCGGACUUCACGCUACUAGAUGAGCCUGCGUAAGAUUAGCUUGUUGGUGAGGUAAAAGCUCACCAAGGCGACGAUCUUUAGCUGGUCUGAGAGGAUGAUCAGCCACACUGGAACUGAGACACGGUCCAGACUCCUACGGGAGGCAGCAGUGGGGAAUAUUGGACAAUGGGGGCAACCCUGAUCCAGCAAUACCGCGUGUGUGAAGAAGGCCUGAGGGUUGUAAAGCACUUUCAAUUGUGAAGAAAAGCUAAUGAUUAAUACCCAUUAGCCUUGACGUUAACUUUAGAAGAAGCACCGGCUAACUCCGUGCCAGCAGCCGCGGUAAUACGGAGGGUGCAAGCGUUAAUCGGAAUUACUGGGCGUAAAGCGUGCGUAGGUGGUUUUUUAAGUCAGAUGUGAAAGCCCUGGGCUCAACCUAGGAACUGCAUUUGAAACUGGAAAACUAGAGUAUAGGAGAGGAAAGUGGAAUUUCAGGUGUAGCGGUGAAAUGCGUAGAUAUCUGAAGGAACAUCAAUGGCGAAGGCAGCUUUCUGGACUAAUACUGACACUGAGGUACGAAAGCGUGGGUAGCAAACAGGAUUAGAUACCCUGGUAGUCCACGCCGUAAACGAUGAUAACUAGCCGUUGGAGGAUUUACCUCUUAGUGCGAAGCUAACGCGUUAAGUUAUCCGCCUGGGGAGUACGGCCGCAAGGUUAAAACUCAAAGGAAUUGACGGGGACCCGCCCAGCGUGGAGCAUGUGGUUUAUUCGAUGCACCGGAGAACUUACUGGCCUUUGACAUACCCGGACUUUCAAAAA
rnacentral:rRNA from 1 species